AUCGCUUCUCGGCCUGUAUGAGGCUAAGAUCAAAUGCGCAGUGUCUGUUCUUAUCAGCUUAAUAUCUGAUAGGGCCUUCUGAUGGGUCUCUAGAUAUUAACCAUAUUUUUGUAAGCUGGUGCCAGACGGGGCUUGCUCCUCUGGUACCACGGGUUGGCCCGGUAUUGCACUGUAGCCGGGUGCGGCCCACGUUCC
rnacentral:snRNA from 1 species